rnacentral:rRNA from 1 species
AGUGAACGCUGGCGGUAGGCCUAACGCAUGCAAGUCGAACGGCAGCACAGUAAGAGCUUGCUCUUACGGGUGGCGAGUGGCGGACGGGUGAGGAAUACAUCGGAAUCUACUUUUUCGUGGGGGAUAACGUAGGGAAACUUACGCUAAUACCGCAUACGACCUACGGGUGAAAGCAGGGGAUCUUCGGACCUUGCGCGAUUGAAUGAGCCGAUGUCGGAUUAGCUAGUUGGCGGGGUAAAGGCCCACCAAGGCGACGAUCCGUAGCUGGUCUGAGAGGAUGAGCAGCCACACUGGAACUGAGACACGGUCCAGACUCCUACGGGAGGCAGCAGUGGGGAAUAUUGGACAAAGGGCGCAAGCCUGAUCCAGCCAUACCGCGUGGGUGAAGAAGGCCUUCGGGUUGUAAAGCCCUUUUGUUGGGAAAGAAAAGCAGCAGGUUAAUACCCCGCUGUUCUGACGGUACCCAAAGAAUAAGCACCGGCUAACUUCGUG